UUACUCCCCUCCCGGGGCAGCAGUGGGGAAUUUUGGACAAUGGGGGCAACCCUGAUCCAGCAAUGCCGCGUGUGUGAAGAAGGCCUUCGGGUUGUAAAGCACUUUUGUCCGGAAAGAAAACUUCGUCCCUAAUAUGGAUGGAGGAUGACGGUACCGGAAGAAUAAGCACCGGCUAACUACGUGCCAGCAGCCGCGGUAAUACGUAGGGUGCGAGCGUUAAUCGGAAUUACUGGGCGUAAAGCGUGCGCAGGCGGUCUGUUAAGACCGAUGUGAAAUCCCCGGGCUUAACCUGGGAACUGCAUUGGUGACUGGCAGGCUAGAGUGUGGCAGAGGGAGGUAGAAUUCCACGUGUAGCAGUGAAAUGCGUAGAGAUGUGGAGGAAUACCGAUGGCGAAGGCAGCCUCCUGGGCCAACACUGACGCUCAUGCACGAUGCCUACCC
rnacentral:rRNA from 1 species